CCUACGGGAGGCAGCAGUGGGGAAUAUUGCACAAUGGGGGAAACCCUGAUGCAGCGACGCCGCGUGAGCGAAGAAGUAUCUCGGUAUGUAAAGCUCUAUCAGCAGGGAAGAAAAUGACGGUACCUGACUAAGAAGCCCCGGCUAACUACGUGCCAGCAGCCGCGGUAAUACGGAGGGGGCAAGCGUUAUCCGGAUUUACUGGGUGUAAAGGGAGCGCAGGCGGCGCGGUAAGUCUGGUGUGAAAACCCGGGGCACAACCCCGGGACUGCAUUGGAAACUGUCGUGCUUGAGUGUCGGAGGGGCAAGUGGAAUGCCUGGUGUAGCGGUGAAAUGCGUAGAUAUUGGGAGGAACACCAGUGGCGAAGGCGGCUUGCUGGACGACAACUGACGCUGAGGCUCGAAAGCGUGGGGAGCAAACAGGAUUAGAUACCCCAGUAGUC
rnacentral:rRNA from 1 species